UACGUAGGGUGCAAACGUUACUCGGAAUUAUUGGGCGUAAAGCGCACGUAGGCGGCUUUGAAAGUCGGAUGUGAAAUCCCACGGCUCAACCAUGGAACUGCUUUCGAAACUGCAAAGCUUGAGUACAAAAGAGGAUCGCGGAAUUCCCGGUGUAGAGGUGAAAUUCGUAGAUAUCGGGAGGAACACCAGUGGCGAAGGCGGCGAUCUGGGUUGAUACUGACGCUGAGGUGCGAAAGCGUGGGGAGCAAACAGG
rnacentral:rRNA from 1 species